UCCAUUUAUGGACAGAUUGCCCAGCCCGAGACGAGGCUCAGCCAGAGGAGUACGGAGUAAGUGGCCGAAGAAAGAGGGGAGAGACUGAGGAACUAGGCACAGGCACCGAGCGCAUAAAACUCACUUAGUCAACCGGCGAGCGCGGGGCCUGAGUGGACCCUGCCCUCUGCAACAUGCGCCCAGUCUGCUAAAUCGCCCCCCUCUCGCCCUCACCUAGCACCGCCGAUCCCGCCUGGAUGGAGUCCCUUCUGGGUUCCCAUUGGCUCCUGUGAGUGCUUGGGUGUCGGGAGCCUGUUUUUGGCGAAGGGAACCAACUUUUGAAGUUCACCCAGGAGACUGCGUUCCGGCCCCAGCUCCGCGGCUGCCGGACCGGGUGGAGGCGCGACCGCGGCGCAAGUCACCAUGGGAAGCAAGGGUGCCUACCGGUACCACUGGCAGAGCCACAAUGUCAAGCACAGUGGCGUGGAUGACAUGGUACUGCUCUCCAAGAUCACGGAGAACGCCAUCGUGGAGAAUCUGAAGAAGAGAUACAUGGACGACUACAUUUUUACAUAUAUAGGAUCUGUACUAAUCUCAGUCAACCCUUUCAAGCAGAUGCCAUAUUUUGGGGAAAAGGAAAUUGAAAUGUACCAAGGAGCGGCACAGUAUGAAAACCCACCACAUAUCUAUGCCCUUGCAGAUAAUAUGUACAGAAACAUGAUCAUUGACAGAGAGAACCAGUGUGUCAUCAUCAGUGGUGAAAGUGGUGCUGGAAAGACAGUAGCUGCCAAGUACAUCAUGAGUUAUGUCUCCAGAGUGUCUGGAGGAGGCCCCAAAGUUCAGCACGUGAAAGACAUCAUCCUGCAGUCCAACCCGCUGCUGGAGGCCUUCGGAAACGCCAAGACUGUCCGAAACAACAACUCCAGUCGAUUUGGAAAAUACUUUGAAAUCCAGUUCAGUCCAGGUGGAGAACCAGAUGGUGGAAAGAUCUCCAACUUCCUUCUGGAAAAAUCCAGGGUGGUGAUGAGGAACCCUGGAGAGCGGAGUUUUCACAUAUUUUAUCAGCUCAUUGAGGGCGCCUCUGCAGAGCAGAAACACAGCCUGGGCAUCACCAGCAUGGAUUAUUAUUACUACCUGAGCCUUUCCGGGUCCUACAAGGUGGAUGACAUCGACGACAGGCGGGAGUUUCAGGAAACCCUGCACGCGAUGAAUGUGAUCGGGAUCUUUGCAGAGGAGCAAACACUGGUGCUGCAGAUAGUGGCUGGCGUGCUGCACCUGGGCAACAUUAGCUUCAAGGAGGUUGGCAAUUACGCCGCAGUGGAGAGCGAGGAGUUUUUGGCUUUUCCUGCAUACCUGCUGGGAAUAAACCAGGACCGGUUAAAAGAAAAGCUCACAAGCCGCCAGAUGGAUAGUAAGUGGGGAGGCAAGUCCGAGUCCAUCCACGUGACCCUCAACGUGGAGCAGGCCUGUUACACCAGAGAUGCGCUCGCCAAGGCCCUGCAUGCCCGGGUCUUUGAUUUCUUGGUAGAUUCCAUCAAUAAGGCAAUGGAGAAAGACCAUCAAGAAUACAACAUUGGUGUCCUGGACAUCUAUGGCUUUGAAAUAUUCCAAAAAAAUGGCUUUGAACAGUUUUGUAUCAAUUUUGUUAAUGAAAAAUUACAGCAGAUCUUUAUUGAACUGACAUUAAAGACGGAACAGGAAGAAUAUGUUCAAGAGGGAAUAAGAUGGACACCCAUUGAGUACUUCAAUAACAAAAUCGUGUGUGACCUCAUAGAGAACAAAGUCAACCCUCCUGGGAUCAUGAGCAUCCUGGAUGACGUGUGUGCCACGAUGCACGCGGUGGGUGAGGGCGCAGAUCAGACGCUGCUGCAGAAGCUCCAGAUGCAGAUUGGGAAUCACGAGCACUUCAACAGCUGGAACCAAGGCUUCAUUAUUCACCACUAUGCUGGGAAGGUCUCCUAUGACAUGGAUGGCUUUUGUGAGCGGAACCGUGACGUGCUUUUUAUGGAUCUGAUCGAGCUUAUGCAGAGCAGCGAGCUACCUUUCAUAAAGUCUUUAUUUCCGGAAAAUUUGCAAGCUGACAAGAAAGGGCGCCCAACUACUGCCGGAAGCAAAAUAAAGAAACAAGCCAAUGACCUUGUAAGCACCCUGAUGAAGUGCACACCCCACUACAUCCGCUGCAUAAAACCCAAUGAAACCAAGAAGCCCAGAGAUUGGGAAGAAAGCAGGGUAAAGCAUCAAGUAGAAUACCUGGGUCUGAAAGAAAACAUUCGCGUGAGAAGAGCUGGUUACGCUUAUCGGCGCAUCUUUCAAAAAUUCCUACAGAGAUACGCCAUUCUGACCAAAGCCACCUGGCCAUCAUGGAGAGGGGACGAGAAGCAAGGUGUUCUCCACCUGCUGCAGUCCGUCAACAUGGACAGCGACCAGUUCCAGCUGGGGAGAAGUAAAGUGUUCAUCAAAGCCCCCGAGUCUCUUUUUCUUCUGGAAGAGAUGAGAGAGCGAAAGUAUGAUGGAUAUGCUCGAGUGAUUCAGAAAUCAUGGAGGAAGUUCGUGGCGAGGAAAAAAUACGUCCAAAUGAGAGAAGAAGCCUCAGAUCUCUUGCUGAACAAGAAGGAGAGAAGGAGAAACAGUAUUAAUAGGAACUUCAUCGGGGAUUACAUUGGGAUGGACGAGCACCCCGAACUCCAGCAGUUUGUGGGCAAGAGGGAGAAGAUUGACUUUGCAGACACCGUCACCAAGUACGACAGGAGGUUCAAGGGUGUAAAGCGAGACUUGCUUCUUACCCCAAAGUGUUUGUACUUAAUUGGACGAGAAAAGGUAAAACAGGGUCCAGACAAAGGCCUCGUGAAAGAAGUGCUGAAGCGGAAAAUUGAGAUGGAGAGGAUCUUGUCUGUAUCCCUCAGUACUAUGCAGGAUGACAUUUUUAUUCUCCAUGAGCAAGAGUAUGACAGUUUGCUUGAAUCCGUCUUCAAAACUGAAUUCUUAAGCCUCUUAGCAAAGCGUUAUGAGGAAAAAACCCAGAAGCAACUACCUCUGAAAUUCAGCAAUACGCUUGAACUGAAGCUGAAAAAGGAGAACUGGGGUCCCUGGAGUGCAGGCGGCUCCCGGCAAGUGCAAUUCCACCAAGGCUUCGGCGACAUGGCCGUCCUCAAGCCCAGUAACAAAGUGCUGCAGGUCAGCAUCGGACCCGGUCUGCCCAAGAACUCCCGUCCUACCAGAAGGAACACGAUCCAAAACCAAGUUUAUUCCAGUGGGACUCAAAAUGCCAACUACCCAAUGAGAGUUGCCCCUCCUCCUCCAGGAUACCAUCAGAAUGGAGUCAUCAAAAACAAGUUUGUGCCACACCCCCAUGGCCUUGGAAACCAGAGGUCCAAUCAGAAAAGCCUGUAUACCUCCAUGGCCCGCCCACCCUUGCCAAGGCAACAGUCCACUGGCUCAGACCGAGUGUCCCAGACACCCGAGAGCCUGGAUUUCCUCAAGGUUCCAGACCAGGGCGCUGCGGGGACAGAAAACGAAGAGUGGUGAAAUGAGCCCAGGCUUUUUGGCCUGAGGAAGUGAAGAUUCUGGAGCUCUCUACAGACAUUUGAAGAUCUAUCAGUUUGAGUAUGAAUUUGAUAUGUCCUAUGGAGUUGCAAAGGAUAGAACCAAGACCUUAAGACCAGUGUGUAGGAUCUACCAGGAGGUAGAUUUGAUAUCAGUAAAAAAAGAACAUUCCAGUAGUCCAAAGAUGAGCUGCCCUAGGAUGUAAGGAGCACCUUGUCCCUGGAAGUAUUCAGGCACUGAGUGGAUUGAAAUCAUCAGGCAGAAAUGUUGUCAAGGGAUAUUAUCAAGUGUUCGAUAAGGGAGAAGUCAGACCUGGGUGACAACCCUAUUUCAGUCCUGUACUAACUAUCUAAGAGUGGACAUGCUGCCUGUCCUCUCUAAACUUCAGUUUCCACUUCUGCACACAAGCUGCAGGGUUAUUGGGAAGGCUAGAAAUAUUCUAUGGAAAAUACCUAGUAUGCUACUUGGCAUGGAGGAGGCUGGCUGCUCAGCCAAUUGUGGCUCGAUGAUGAUGAUGAUGACGACGACGAUGAUACAACCACUGUCCCCUGGUGACUGAACUAGUGACCUUUCAAGAACCUUUCAACUCUGCAUGCUGCUCAGUGGAGGAGCAGUUCUUUGGGCUGAACCCAGUAAUAGGUCUGCUCCAGCUCCCUCUCUCACCUCUUCCCAUCCCUCAAGCCCAUCUCCGUGUCUCUAGAAAGAUGAAGAAGUUCCGGGUGGGGAUCAGGAGACUUGUGUAUAAACUAGAUCCAUGGAAGGAGAGAAAAUGACAGCUCUUUCCUCUGGGUGGGCAUCCAGAAUUUAUUAUCAGAUGUUUUUCCUACCUUGGCAGCAUCCUCCUAAAGACCACAAAGCUCUUAGAAAGAUUACCAUGGCCCUAUGUCCCUUUUCCUCUGGCAAGUUUUACCUCAUUUGGGUUACAGAUAUGAAAGCAUCUUAAUUUUAUCACAUAGACAGCCAUCAAUAGACUGGCUAGCUCCCUGUCUCUCUCUCUCACCCUCCCCUUCGUCUCUCCCUCCCCUUCCUCUUGUGUAAGCUGGGUAUAUCCGGUUUACCUGAUAGGCUUGGCUUCAUCUAGUGGUUCUCAACUUUAGUGUGCACCAGAAUCACAUGGAGGGCUUAUUAAAAGAACAGUUUGCUGGCCCACCUCUAGAGUUUCUCAUUCAGUAGGUCACGGAUGAGGCCGAGAAUUUUGCAUUUCUAACUCGAACCCAGGUGAUGCUGAUGCUGCUGGUCUAGGAACCACACGUGUCCGGAGACAAACGACCAGUCGGCCUCCCCCAGCAGGGGGCAGACCCAAGCCCCAGCCCAAGCCUAAGCCUCAGGUG